rnacentral:SRP_RNA from 1 species
UCGUGCUAGGCGGGGAGCUAGCGGUGCCCUGUAACUCACAAUCCGCUAUAGUGAGGCUGAAUUCCAGAACUGAGACUUUUGAUGGUAAGGUUUGUGCUAUUAUAAGUGGUUAUGAAGGUUGGGUCUUAUGCGGCAAAGUCUUAUAAACCCCGUCAGAUCCGAGAGGAAGCAGCGGUAAGUAAGUAGCUUUGGGUGACAUAAGGAAACCUGGCUGGAGCUAACUGUAAUGGUAACACUUGUUAUUAAAAUUCAAAGUCUGGUGCACGG